rnacentral:rRNA from 1 species
UACAGAGGGUGCGAGCGUUGUCCGGAAUCACUGGGCGUAAAGGGCGCGUAGGUGGCGACCCAAGUCCAUGGUGAAAGCUCGAUGCUCAACAUCGAGUCGGCCACGGAUACUGGGUUGCUGGAGCACUGUAGAGGCAGAUGGAAUUCCGGGUGUAGCGGUGGAAUGCGUAGAGAGUCCGGAAGAACACCGGUGGCGAAGGCGGUCUGCUGGGCAGUUGCUGACACUGAGGCGCGACAGCGUGGGGAGCAAACAGG